rnacentral:rRNA from 1 species
GUGUCAGCCGCCGCGGUAAGACGGAGGGCGCGGGCGUUGUUCGGAAUUACUGGGCGUAAAGCGCGCGCAGGCGGAUGGGCAAGUCGGAAGUGAAAUUCCGGGGCUCAACCCCGGACCGGCUUCCGAUACUGUUCGUCUAGGGACCGGUAGGGGCCGGUGGAAUUCCCGGUGUAGCGGUGGAAUGCGUAGAGAUCGGGAAGAACACCCGUGGCGAAGGCGGCCGGCUGGGCCGGAUCCGACGCUGAGGCGCGAAAGCGUGGGGAGCAAACAGGAUUAGAUACCCUGGUAGUCCACGCCGUAAACGAUGGGUGCUGGAUGCCGGGGGGAGCGACCCCUUCGGUGUCGUAGCUAACGCGUUAAGCACCCCGCCUGGGGAGUACGGCCGCAAGGCUGAA